CACAUAUCACCUUGACCUGGUGAAGAAAAGCUCUUGGUCUAGUCUCCCUGUAGAGUCACAGCAGAAUUACUGACAUGGCCUGGUGAGGUUUCACAAACUCUGAUUCUGAUGCUUGGGAAGCAGUAGAUCCUGUGAGUCACAGGCCACCUAGGGCUUCCUAAAAACAAAAAAGCCUUCAUUAUAGAAUUACGUGAUUUGUGAUACUAUUCUGCCUCUAUUUUAUGUUGGAAAAUUUCCCACUAAUUUAAGCUCACACAGAAACCACCUACCCCAUUGCAUGUAUCGUAGUCAAAGGAGUAUUGGAGCCAAAAACUGUCUGUCCCAGUAACCAGUGCUUCUUUGGAAGAAGGAAGAGAAUUAAGGCGUUCUUACAGUGCUUGUACCUUUGAGCAAGCCUCUUCUCUGGGGAUUCAUGGAGCGCACCAACUCACAGAUCUUACACCUUUGGUUAAGUGUUCAUUCCUCGGGGUUUGAUCCUCAGUUAUUCUUUGGGUUUUGUUUUGUUUGUUUGUUUGUUUGUUUGUUUGUUUUUUUAAGUCUCUUGCCAUUAGCUGUGUGGAAAUGUAUGGAACUCAGGAUGCUUGGUGUAAGAGGUAGUGUGUACUAAUGAGGCUUUUCCAUCCCCUUGCUCACUAGAAGGACUUAACAUGCAUGCAUGUUGACAGAUGCUAGACCAUGGCAAAUGAGUGUGGAGUCUGCAUCCUGUCUGCCACGUCACUGACUCACUGGCUAGGGGUGUGGCCAGAAAAGUGCUGUGAGAAUAUGGUGACUUCUGGCUUGGCUGCCUCAGCCCAGCAGGCAGUGAUUGCCCAGUGAGGAUUCUGAGAUUAGCCUAAUAACCACAUUGUAACUGCUUGUGAAGAAACAGAUCCAAGUAAAAUGCUUUACGUAAGCAUUGAGUAAGAGUUGGUGGUUGGUCUGGUGUAUUUCUCAGCCAUUUGUCCUGUGCAUCUUUUCUUCAAAGAACUGUGGACCAGCAAAGAAAAGUCAUAGUUGUUCUGGUAGGCAAACCCUUAGUGUUUGGCUACCAAGGCUCAGGACUAUUGUUUAGCAUGUAUAGCAGUGGGACAUCAAAAUGAGCCAAUGUGAAAGGUGUUUGGGACUAGAGCACAGCAGAGUUACUUAAGGAGUAGCAGCAGGCAAGUUCAGGACCAGACAUUGUGGUCCCAGCUCUAUACUGAGGGACUUGAACCCUUGCUUGUACUGCUUUUGCCCCUGUCAGGAUCAGUUUCAGAAACCCUUCAAUAUUAGGAGGGUUUCUGCUCCCAGCUGCCAGUGUCUCGGGUCCAUCCCAGCAGGAUGUUGGUCAGGCCUUAGUGUCUCAACUUUCUGUUUUAUGUAUUUUUCCAUCUUCAGCAUGGCUUUGUGAAGCCAGAGUAAGUGACAGUUGUAGACUUGUGCUGACUGUUGUCUGGAUCGCUCAUGCUCUGCUGAACGAUCUGCAAGCAGGCCUGUAUUUCGUGUGGUUCUGUGCGAGCAGUGUACAGUGACGACCACUGUUCCCUCAGGUAGAACUUGGGGAAACGAUCUGCAGAGGUCAGAGAAGCUAAGUCACUGUCUGACUUGAGUCUGGCCUCACUGCCAUGCUGCAGGUGACAAGGGGAACAAGGACUAGAAGAAUCCACUGUGGGGUGGGGUUGCUUAUCUCUCAGCACAUGAUUAGUUAUGGCUUCCCUAAAUACUAAAGAAAAAGACAUCAGUAAGUCAGGAGUGCAUUAGCACUGUUACUCCGUGGGGGUGUGCUGCAGGAGGACUGCUGAGAGGUACGCUCUGAUGAGCCCUCUACCUGCUGUGCUAGAAUUGAAACCCAGGUUAAGUAAGGUUGUCGAAGUCCUUUUUGCAACUGAUGAGCUAGUAUGUGUCAGCUGGGACUUUGUGACCAGAAAUACUGUAGCUAAAUUACUGGAAGACUUGGUCGGAUGCUUGGUUGGGAAGGGCGGGAUUUGUUUCUGUUGUUGUUUUGUUGUUUGCUGUGCCUUAUUCAUGGUAGGAAUGAGGGGUAGGAAGCUGUUCUCUGGAGAGUAUCAUUGGCACCUACCAGGAAUUUACUGCUAUUUCAAAAUAGCACCACGAAAGUUAUCAGUUAAAUUAAAAAUUCAGUGGCCAGACUAUAUUGUUUAUUAGAUAUUAGAUAACAUUAGGAAAAAUAUGAGGGCUUGAAUUUAAUCUCCAGAACCUGGGUACAAAUGCGAGGUUGUAGGUUGAGGUGACAAGUGUGUAAUCCCAAGGUUGGAAAAGUAGAGAUAGGUGGACAUCUGGAACUCACUGGCUGGCCAGCCUAGCCUACUUGGCAAAACCUCAGGCCAGCGAGAGGCCCGGGUGCAGUAUAUUAUAAAGAUGAAUAUGCCUGAAAGGACACCCAAGGUUGACCUUUGACAUACUCUGGUAUACACCUGCACACACAAACACUGACAGAACAGUCAGUGACUUCAUUGUAGCUGAAGACAUCUCCUGAGGUGGAGAGGAAGGGUAAUGGUUGGAGCUACAGGGAUAGAGUCAGGCACAGGAGAGCUGACACAAUGAGCGGUAACAAGAGAAGAGUAGGAGUCGGUAGGAGGGGCAUUUGCUGCCAGUUCCCGUACUGAGGAUAUAUGAACUUCAGGUGAGCAGAACAGACCACUACAGCAUUGGGAGAGCCAUAGGCACUCAAAGGAGCUGGGUUUGUUGUCCUUUCAAUCAAAGAAUCUGCUCUGGGAAAGCACACUCUGUCCUCACUGCCUUUCCUCCAGUGGAUGCAAUGGCAGGAAGUAGUCAGUCAGAACAGGCUGCCAGUGCAGCUGUGUCCACGUUCCUGCAGGCCGCACCAGCUGUGCCAGGUGAAGGUCAGUAGGUGAACAUCCAGUCGGUGUUUUCCAGCCGAGUGAUAAAACACUACCUCAGAUGUCUGGCAUGAAAUAUGUGGGUGCAAAGAAAGAUAUUGCAGAAAAACGGAGCACCACCACAUUCCCCUUGUAUCUGCCCAAAGCAGAGACUAAACAGCAGAGCUUUAAAGGGGGAUUAUUGGAUCCAGUUGGACGGCCCUCAUUCAACUGUGCCAUAGUCAAUGUCACCUUGGAGCUGGCAGUGUUCUAUUUAGCAGUUUAGCAGACACAAUUUGGAAUUCACAUGAAGUCUCUCUUCAUUUGAGUAGUAGAAACAAAAGUCAGAAUGCCAAAAGAGGUCUGGUUUCUGCAGGAAUUAAUGAUUUCUCCUGCUUCCCUCCAACAGACAGUAAUGUAACUGUGACACUGUCUGUGGAGCUGGGUCACCCUCUGGACUGCCAGGCUUUUUAGCAUCUGAUGGGGGCUGUGAGGUGAGGGGCACAGGCCCAUGUCCACGUCAGGUAGUCCAGAUGCUUUGGACACACUAAGCCUGGGUGUGUUCAGAGCCACACUGUUCUGAGCCCAUUGUCCUUUGGGGGGCUUCUUUGGUGUCCAACUUUUAUCCAGAAGUCUGAUAACAUUAUCUCAGUCUGGUGAGCACUCAGGUUUGCCAGCCCUGGAGGCUGGGGAGUGAAAUUGGACAGUUGUGGGUGCCAGUUGUUGCAUGUUUAGAAAAAGUUAAAUUUGCAGUGAAGAGACUUGGACUGUGAGGAAAUCACAUUCCCACUCCCCCAUUCCCAUUUAGACAAGUAAAUCUGAUGAAGUUUAAGUUGUUCGGCUGUGUAAGAAGUUGCUGUGCUCAGGGACCAAGUUCUUCAGUGGGAGGGGAGCAGAGCCAGUAGUCAGUAGCGCACUGUUGGCAGCAGCUGUUCUGCAGAGGCAGGCCAGUCCUUUUGGUUCAGAGAUGCUGUCGCGCUCAAAAAACAAAGCACAUCAGUAUGUCAGUGCAUGCGAACAGUGCUGGCUCUUGUGAGGGCUGAGGCAGAAGGAUGGGGCAUUAUAGCCUGGGCUAUCUGAGACCCUGGUUUUUUAAACAAACAAAACAAAAAUACCGCCUCUAACAUAGUUGGCAGGAUUGGAAGGCUCUAUAUUGAUUCAGACUCUAUAUUGAGCCAAACUUUAAAAAAAUGAAGUAUGCUUUAUGAUGUGAAGACACACUAGCCUGCACUGUACCAACCAUAUUUUACCUCUUGGAGUUAUUAUGUAAAUAGCAAAUGCCAUCAACAGGGGUAUAUCAUACUGUGUCUUGUGAGGGUGGCAUGGUUUUCUGAGACUUUGUUCUCAUAUUCUUAAUAUUUUUUUUAAUUUUCUCAUAUCUGUAUAUCAUGGCUUAUUUAAAACUAGCUGGUGGUGGCCUAAAGUGUUUAGGGGAGUUUUACUGUGGAUUGUUACACAGGCACAUGUCACUGCCUACAGGCCUGUAACAUUAAAAAAACCUUCUAAGUCACCAAGCCACAAAUAUAGUUUUUAAGAAGGCAGUCUGAAGAGUUUGUCAGAAAACGCAGUAGGAAAGUGUCGGAUGGUUUGGGGGCCUGGAGACACCAGCUGGGACAGAGGGAAAGAACGCAUUGAUGGAGCCAAAGUAGCUCCACAGCAGAGUCCAGUGCAGGGACAGUCGUGUGCGCUACUUUCUUAGAGUGUCACUUCCCGAGGCCAGUUCACCCUGCAGAGGGUUUCUUGGAUGGAAAGGCAGAAAAGUCCUGCAGUAGCAGUAAGAGAUCAUUAACACAUCGGCCCUCCUGGCCCUCGGCUCUGUACCCUGCGGCCUGCGGCACCUUGAGUCCUUCUCGACCCUGCUCAGGGACUUACUCCACGUCUCCACAGGACAGGGCGCAGCAAGGUAGGACUCAAAGUGACAGCCUUUGUGUUCCCAAGUCACGCC
ensembl:lncRNA